AAAUUUCAUUUCCCACUUCACAAAACAUUUUAUUUUCCCACAAAUAUUUCAUUUCCUACUGCACAAAACUCUCUCAUUUUCUCUCUAUCUCUCACAUUCACUCUCACACACACACAAAUCUUCACAUUCACAUUCACACUCACACACACAGCUUUCGCUGGUGUCGAGGAGGAGAGACCAACCAAGCGCCGCCGAGCCCAGGGCCGACAAGGCCGAACCCAACUCAGCCCUCCUUCGGCCCAAAUCUCCUUUCAAUUGCUCAGUGAAUUCAAAGUUCCUUUCAUUUCAACGAUCUUAGCCAGGAUGUUUCUCUGGUCUAACAAUCUCCAGCUCUCAAAAAUCAUCAACCGCAUCCCAUCAACCAAGCAACUUAUAAGUUUUAUCUUGGUGUUCGAGGACUUUUUUGUAUACAAAGAACUACAGAAGAACAACCACAUUUUUUGCAAGUGUUGAAGGAUAUUUUUAAACACUUUGGAACUUUGAUUAUAGUAUUAUCUUAAUUUGAGUGGUUGUUUUAUUCAAA